rnacentral:rRNA from 1 species
AGUGAACGCUGGCGGUAGGCCUAACACAUGCGAGUCGAACGGCAGCACAGUAAGAGCUUGCUCUUACGGGUGGCGAGUGGCGGACGGGUGAGGAAUACAUCGGAAUCUACUUUUUCGUGGGGGAUAACGUAGGGAAACUUACGCUAAUACCGCAUACGACCUACGGGUGAAAGCAGGGGAUCUUCGGACCUUGCGCGAUUGAAUGAGCCGAUGUCGGAUUAGCUAGUUGGCGGGGUAAAGGCCCACCAAGGCGACGAUCCGUAGCUGGUCUGAGAGGAUGAUCAGCCACAAUGGAACUGAGACACGGUCCAGACUCCUAAGGGAGGCAGCAGUGGGGAAUAUUGGACAAUGGGCGGAAGCCUGAUCCAGCCAUACCGCGUGGGUGAAGAAGGCCUUCGGGGUGUAAAGCCCUUUUGGUGGGGAAGAAAAGCAGCAGGUUAAUACCCCGCUGUUCUGACGGUACCCAAAGAAUAAGCACCGGCUAACUUCGUG